CAUCUGUUAUCAGGAAGUUGGCUCAGGUGAAGUCUUCUUUGGUGUGCCCGCAGUCCUCUAUUUUUGUACCUCUGGAGGGAGAGGGAGCAAAAGGCUCGCGGGUUUCCUUACCUACACCAAACAUGUGCUAGGGAUACUCACUGAACACAAGUGUGGCACCAUCUUUCAUUUGCUUACCGUCUUGAGAAGAUAAAGGCAAAAGAAAUGGUUGUGCAGUGAGGCCUCUAAGAAGUAAACCUAAGAGAGUAAAGGAAAAGAUUUUUCUUCCCAACAGCCAUAGAUGUUACUGCAAAAUAACUUAAUUUUGGAGUCAGUUACCCAUAGUCCACUGUGGUCUAGAAGCAGAUGAUCUUGCUGAUAUAUCAUCGGAAGAUCGAUGGUAGCCUAAUGCUACAUCACAAUGCCUAUCACUCACUUCACUUCAUUUCAUCAUGUAGCAUUUUAUCAUCUCAUAUCAUCACAUGAAGAAGGUUUCAGUUAUCUGUGAUCAACCACAGUCUGGAAACAGAUGAUCCUCCUUCUGACAAAUGGUCAGCAGGUCAGUAGCAGCCUAAUGCUACAUCACGCUGCCUGCAUCAUUCGCCCCACUUCAUCUCGUUUCAUGGGCAUUUUGUCAUCUCACAUCAUCACAAGAAGGGCAAAGCCCAUUAGCAGGUAGCACAAGCUGAAUCCUGAUUUUCUAGCUGCAAAGCAUGGUGUGAAGAAUGAUGAAGAUUAGCUCAUUCUUGAGUAGAUGGUGUGAAGUGCAGUUGUGAGGGCUGGAGUUGCUGUAGUCACUUUGUCACCACGAGGAAAACUGGCCCGAAGAAGAAUCUGAUGCACAGGGAAGAACAGAGCCAAGUAGAAGAGAACACUGGAGGUGGAGUCUCGUACAAAGUGCACACCUGAAGCAUACUCUCUCUCUGAGCCUUUUUGAGCCACAUGAGAAUCACUAAAUUAUUUACCAGUAUAUCAGCACCAUAUAUGAGGAAGCAGAAUUUCAGAAAAGACAAAAAGAUAAAUCAAAAUAAUUUCUUAGUCUGAAGAUUAGCUGAGCUAUAUGAAGAAUGUAAUAGAUGAAAUGUGUUGCAAGCUGGACGGGACAAUAGAAAUGUCAAGAAAAACAUUUUUUUUUUAAUUGUGGAUAAAGUUCAGAGUUAACCUACUGGCCAAAGGCAUCAGUGCCCAGAAGGCUGGGGAUGGUUCUCAGCCAGAAGGAAGGAAAGAGAUGCUGGUGGGAAGGAGCCCAAGACAUUCCUCCUCUGAGCAGGAGGCCAAACCAGAAGAAUAUUUCAGAAAAUUGAUAUAAUAGAGCCUUGAACCACUCCAGGUGCAGUCCUGUACAGCUGUGGAAAGCUUUGUACACUUUCUAACAACUUCUCCAGGAAAAGGUUGGUAAUUUCAUUCACUGAUAUAAGGAAUCCAGGAAGAGGAGCAGGCUUGCUCUCUUCAAAGGUCACCAAAAGAUGACCUAGAUCUACACAUGAACACUUGUACAUGCCAGUCAUAAAAUGCCCUAUAUCACUCAAAAUACUAUCAGGAAGCAAAAUCCAAUUCAGAAGAUUGAGGAAACUUUCAUCCACUUCCUCAUUUUUACUAGACCCACUGCCUGGAUUCCUUUGUGCACUGAGUAUGUUGUGGGCCAAGUCUAAUUUCUCAUGAAUGUUGUGUUCUGAUCAUAACUCCUGCCAGAAAUUUGGAGCAGUGUUGUUCAGAUCAACCUGGACGACAAUUACGUGCUCUGUGCACAUGUUUAACUAAACCAGUGAUCAGAAAUGACACUUUGCGGCAAAACGGCAAAGUUGGAAACGACAUCCAUGAUGGACCAGCUGCCAGUCUUGAAGAAUCUGGUCUCCAUCUGCAUUUACUGCGUUAUCCUUUGGAUUAUUUUGUUAGGUACCAAGGAAUCCAUUGGUUAUAAGCUGCUUUUGUUUUCCAGUGAUGACAUUGUGCCAGGUUUUUGCAAGUUUCCUCAAAUAUGAGUUGUAACUUAAUAUUAAGCAAAGCUUGAAACUCUUGGCAUCUACACUUCCUUAUACUUGGCAAAAUAGAACUUACUGUUCUUAAGACAAAAGGCGCAGAGUUCUUUUGAGUUUUUACAAAACAAUGUGUAUACAUGAGGAAUUGUUGGUAAUCCAAAAGCAUAGAAUUAAAAUUCCCAUAAAAUAUGUAUUUUGUUUUAGCUCGUUGCUUUUGAUUUCAGCUCAGGUCAGGUUCCCAGGGUUGUGGGAUCAAGCCCCCUCG